GACGAACGCUGGCGGCGUGCUUAACACAUGCGAGUCGAACGGAAAGGCCCUGCUUUUGUUUGGUGCUCGAGUGGCGAACGGGUGAGUAACACGUGAGUAACCUGCCCUUGACUUUGGGAUAACUUCAGGAAACUGGGGCUAAUACCGGAUAGAAGCUCCUGCUGCAUGGUGGUGGUUGGAAAGUUUCGGCGGUUGGGGAUGUACUCGCGGCUUAUCAGCUUGUUUGUGGGGUAGUGGCUUACCAGGGCUUUGACGGGUAGCCGGCCUGAGAGGGUGACCGGCCACAUUGGGACUGAGAUAGGGCCCAGAAUCGUACGGGAGGCAGCAGUGGGGAAUAUUGCACAAUGGGCGGACGCGUGAUGCAGCAACGCCGCGUGCGGGAUGACGGCCUUCGGGUUGUAAACCGAUUUCGCCUGUGACGAAGCGUGAGUGACGGUAAUGGGUAAAGAAGCAACGGCUAACUACGUG
rnacentral:rRNA from 1 species